UACGUAGGGGGCAAGCGUGGUCCGGAUUUAUUGGGCGUAAAGAGCGUGUAGGCGGCUAGGUAGGUGGGUUGUGAAAACUGGAGGCUCAACCUUCAGACGUCGACCCAAACCCCCUGGCUAGAGUCCGGAAGAGGAGAGUGGAAUUCCUGGUGUAGCGGUGAAAUGCGUAGAUAUCUGGAGGAACACCGGUGGCGAAGGCGGCAUCCUGGACCGACACUGACACUGAGGAGCGAAAGCCAGGGGAGCAAACGGG
rnacentral:rRNA from 1 species